CACACUAGGACAUCACCAUCACCUCAGCACUGGGAUGCUGGGCAUGGAUGCCAAAGCCCAAGGUGUACAAAGAUUCCAUUUUAGCCUGGGCCGACCCAAGACAUUUUGUCACCUGAAGCAAACCAAAAAAAUGGUGCUGCCCUCCUGAACAGGGAAGAAGGGAUCUUGAGGUGCAAUCACAGAGAUCAUCUGGGUCAGGGUCCGGAGGCCCAUAGAGGGCCUAUCUCUCCUGACCUUGACAAGAAGCUCACAUGGCAUGAUGGGUCAAGUAAACUCUGUGGCGUUCUCCAAGUGAGCAACUUCCUCCAACCGAGGGUGGAUCUACACUUAUGGUUUUUAACAUUCAGGAAAGGACGAGGAAGGGUUUUGAUAACAUAGAUGGUCACACGACGUCCUACUUUUUACGUUCAUAAUGCAGACCUUGUCUUUUUUAUCAUUUAUUUUUUAAUCGUUUUGUGCUGCUAUGUCGGUGAACCACUGCUCAUAUGUCCCUAUGCAGAGUUUUACCUCUUUCUUUUUUACUGCAUUCAAACUCUGACCCGCCCCCUCCAAUGAUUUUCAAGGGGCAACGUUCAGGGAGGAAGAAUUAAAAUAGGACUCCAGAAGGCAGUGACCACCAGCAGGGAAAGAAACAUCGUUUUG